GACGAACGCUGGCGGCGUGCUUAACACAUGCAAGUCGAACGGAAAGGCCUCUUUCGGGGGGUACUCGAGUGGCGAACGGGUGAGUAACACGUGAGUAACCUGCCCUUGACUUUGGGAUAACUUCAGGCAACUGGGGCUAAUACCGGAUAGGAGCUCCUGCUGCCUGGUGGGGGCUGGAAAGUUUCGGCGGUUGGGGGUGGACUGGCGGCUUAUCAGCUUGUUGGUGGGGGAGUGGCUUACCAAGGCUUUGACGGGUAGCCGGCCUGAGGGGGUGACCGGCCACAUUGGGACUGAGAUACGGCCCAGGCUCCUACGGGAGGCAGCAGUGGGGAAUAUUGCACAAUGGGUGGAAGCCUGAUGCAGCAACGCCGUGUGCGGGAUGACGGCCUUCGGGUUGUAAACCGCUUUCGCUCAUGACGAAGCUUUGUGUGACGGUAGUGGGUAAAGAAGCACCGGCUAACUACGUG
rnacentral:rRNA from 1 species